rnacentral:rRNA from 1 species
ACGUAGGGGGCGAGCGUUGUCCGAAGUUACUGGGCGUAAAGCGCGCGUAGGCGGUUCUCUAAGUCUGUGGUGAAAGGUUCGGCGCUCAACGUGAACAGUGCCUUGGAGACUGGAGGACUUGAGUGUGGGAGGGGGCAGUGGAAUUCCUGGUGUAGCGGUGAAAUGCGUAGAUAUCUGGAGGAACACCGGUGGCGAAGGCGGCAUCCUGGACCGGUAUUGACGCUGAGGCGCGAAAGCCAGGGGAGCAAACGGGA